UCUUCAUCUUCCUCAUGU
rnacentral:sRNA from 1 species